rnacentral:rRNA from 1 species
GUGCCAGCAGCCGCGGUAAUACCGGUGGCUCGAGUGGUGGCCGCUAUAUUGGGUCUAAAGGGUCCGUAGCCCGGCCUGAUAAGUACCUGGGAAAUCCGGUGGCCUAACCAUCGGGCGGCCAGGUAAUACUAUCAGGCUCGGGACUAGGAGAGACCAGAGGUACUCAUGAGGUAGGAGUGAAAUCCUGUAAUCUUAUGAGGACCACCAGUGGUGAAGACGUCUGGUUAGAAUAGGUCCGACGGUGAGGGACGAAGGCUGGGGGCGCAAACCGGAUUAGAUACCCGGGUAGUCCCAGCAGUAAACGAUGCCAGCUAUGUGUUGCUGGAACCAUGGGUUCCAGCAGUGCCGAAGGGAAGCCGUGAAGCUGGCCACCUGGGAAGUACGGUCGCAAGGCUGAAACUUAAAGGAAUUGGCGGGGGAGUACCACAACCGGUGGAGCCUGCGGUUUAAUUGGAUACAACGCCGGGAAUCUUACCGGAGGGGACAGCAGUAUGAAGGCCAGGCUAAAGACCUUGCCAGAUCAGCUGAGAGGAGGUGCAUGGCCGUCGCCAGUUCGUACCGUGAGGCAUCCUGUUUAGUCAGGCAACGAUCGAGACCCGCAGUCUUAUUUGCCAGCAUGCCCUUUGGGGUGUAUGGGUACAAUAAGACGAACGCCGGCGCUAAGCUGGAGGACGGAGCGGGCUACGGUAGGUCAGCAUGCCCCGAA